rnacentral:rRNA from 1 species
AAGCGGAGGAAAAGAAACCAACAGGGAUUGCCUCAGUAACGGCGAGUGAAGCGGCAACAGCUCAAAUUUGAAACCUGGCGCAAGCCCGGAUUGUAAUUUGCAGAGGAUGCUUCUGGGCAGCGGCCGGUCUAAGUUCCUUGGAACAGGACGUCAUAGAGGGUGAGAAUCCCGUAUGCGACCGGCGCGCACCCUCCACGUAGCUCCUUCGACGAGUCGAGUUGUUUGGGAAUGCAGCUCUAAAUGGGAGGUAAAUUUCUUCUAAAGCUAAAUACCGGCCAGAGACCGAUAGCGCACAAGUAGAGUGAUCGAAAGAUGAAAAGCACUUUGGAAAGAGAGUUAAAAAGCACGUGAAAUUGUUGAAAGGGAAGCGCUUCCCACCAGACUCCGUGGCGGUGUUCCGCCGGUCUUCUGACCGGUCUACUCGCCGCCGCGGGGCCAACAUCGUCUGGGGCCGCCGGAUAAGACCGGAGGAAUGUAGCUCAUUGAGUAUUAUAGCCUCCGGGGAUGCGGCGCGCGCCGGGCGAGGUCCGCGCUUCGGCAAGGAUGUUGGCGUAAUGGUGGGCAGCGGCCCGUCUUGA